UACGAAGGGGGCUAGCGUUGCUCGGAAUCACUGGGCGUAAAGGGUGCGUAGGCGGGUCUUUAAGUCAGGGGUGAAAUCCUGGAGCUCAACUCCAGAACUGCCUUUGAUACUGAAGACCUUGAGUUCGGGAGAGGUGAGUGGAACUGCGAGUGUAGAGGUGAAAUUCGUAGAUAUUCGCAAGAACACCAGUGGCGAAGGCGGCUCACUGGCCCGAUACUGACGCUGAGGCACGAAAGCGUGGGGAGCGAACAGG
rnacentral:rRNA from 1 species